UACGGAGGGGGCGAGCGUUAUUCGGAAUUAUUGGGCGUAAAGGGCGCGUAGGCGGCUUUCUAAGUCAAAGGUGAAAUCCCUCGGCUCAACUGAGGAACUGCCUUUGAAACUGGAAGGCUUGAGGCCGGGAGGGGGUAGCGGAAUUCCCAGUGUAGCGGUGAAAUGCGUAGAUAUUGGGAGGAACACCAGUGGCGAAGGCGGCUACCUGGACCGGCUCUGACGCUGAUGCGCGAAAGCGUGGGUAGCAAACAGG
rnacentral:rRNA from 1 species